AUACCAGCACCCCGAGUGGUCGGGACGAUUAUUGGGCCUAAAGCAUCCGUAGCCGGCCUUACAAGUCCUCCGUUAAAUCCAGCUGCUUAACAGAUGGGCUGCGGAGGAUACUAUAAGACUAGGAGGCAGGAGAGGCAAGCGGUACUCAGUGGGUGGGGGUAAAAUCCGUUGAUCCAUUGAAGACCACCAGUGGCGAAGGCGGCUUGCCAGAAUGCGCUCGACGGUGAGGGAUGAAAGCUGGGGGAGCAAACCGGAUUAGAUACCCGGGUAGUCCCAGCUGUAAACGAUGCAAUCUCGGUGAUGGACUAGCUUUAUGCUUGUCCAGUGCCGCAUGGAAGCCGUUAAGUCUGCCGCCUGGGUAGUACGGUCGCAAGACUGAAACUUAAAUGAAUUGGCGGGG
rnacentral:rRNA from 1 species